ACAAAAAACACAAAAAUUAGCCAGGCAUGGUGACGCGCGUGCCUGUAGUCCCAACCACUUGGGAGGCUGAGGUGGGAGAAUUGCCUGAACCUGGGGAGGUCGAUUCUGCAGUGAGUUUUGAUCAUACCACUGUACUCCAGCCUGGGUGACAGAGCAAGACGCUGUCUCCAAAUUCAAUCGAACAAACGAAAAAACCUCUUAUGUACUUUAUGAGUUAGGGCACAACACACUUUGAAUAUGCUAUCUGUGAUUCUUUUUCUAGGUGGAGGGGAGAAGAAAGUGCAAACCAAAAAGUGACUGAGGCAGAUCUCAAUCAAUUAGAAGUUUAUUUUGCCAAGGCUGAGAAAAUACCCAGGAAAAACAAAUACAGCCCAUAGUAGAAUUUGUGACCUGUGCUUUUUCCAAAGAGAGUUUUGGGAACUUCGGUAUUUAAAAGGGAAAGAGCAAGCAAGAGGGAAGAGAAGAAAGUAGGCAAUGAGGCAAGUGGUUACAUUCUUGUGAGGUUCUGAUUAGUGCUUGGUAAAUCUACAUUUUACACUGAGUAGAGGAAAAGUCAAUUAAGGAUUCAUCUGGGGCUCAGUAAAUCUACAUUUUACAUCAGUUAAAGUAAGCAUGUGAAAUUACAGCUAUUUGUUUGGGAACAAAAGGAAGGCAGUUUUUAUAUGACUCAAUUCCCAAGCUUAACUUUCUCUUUGGCAUAGUGAGUUUGGGGUCCCGGGAUUCUACUUUCCUUUAACAACAGUUUUGUCCUUCAGUUUUCUACCUGUUUUAUAAAGAGCUCUGUCUGUUAGGGAAGCAGAUGUCACAGGCAAACUGGCGUGAUUUUGCAAGGGUUUAUUUACAGAGUGACUUCUUGGGGAGGUAUGGACCUACAGGAGGCAUAAGAGAUGGUGCAGUAUCCCAGGGCAAAUAUCAGCAGAGCUACUGUCAUCAUCCCUGGAGCUUUGGGGAAGGAAACAGCUACCAGAACCUGGAAGGAGAGUCACAUAAAGGAGGCUGCCUUAAGAGAAGAUGUCAUCUUCAACUGGGGGAUGCAGUCAGCCUGAGGGAACCUGUUAGAGAGGAGUCAGCAUGACUCAGGAAUCGGGGGUGCAUCUCAGAGGGCACCCUGCCUGUGUUCUCUGUUAUUGCCUGUGAGCCACGGACAGAUACCAUCAUUAUAAUCACUCAAGAAGCCUUCCUUUCAGGAAUAUAUAUUGCUUCUUAGCCCCUGCCUACUCCCUGGAAAUCCUGGGCAAAGAGCCAGGGAAAAACUGUGAGUGCUCAGGCUGAAAUCAAUGGGCUGGAAUUGUUUCUUCACUUUGGGUGACUCCACUGUUACUCAAGGAAUGAACUGAUUGGCACCAAGCAAGAAGAACAGCACAUCCCCUUGGACUCAUUCCCUUAUUUAUAAGCCAUAACCUUAAGGACAAUAAGCUAGAGACCCUGCCAGUAUCCUUGAGCCAGGAUCUCAUCUGAUGUCACGGUAGCCAUGUUUCCCCGGCAUCCGAGAGCACAAGGACGCAAAUAAGCCCUGGGCCAAACUAAGCUCUGACAGUUAAUGUUAUUGCAAAGCAGAGGCAGUGAGGGUAGGAAGUUCUGGUCCCCCUCAUCUUACUUCAAGUUUCACAGCCAAGGGUGAUGAUGGGUUUAGUCAAUAAGCACAAUCAAGGAGCCUAUGAGACAGAACUUGUCACAAAGACAGCUGAUGUUUCACAUGGACCUUAACAGAGUAACUGGUUUCUCUUCAGGAAUGGGGCACAAUCCAGAGGUUACUAACCACAGAACAUUUACUGGAUUUGGUACUUGGAGAAAGAAACUGACAAAUUAAGAAAUGAGAGAGAAUAAAUGCACUGUGCAUACUGAAACCCCAAAAAGACUUUUUUUCUCCUACUUCUUAUGGAAUUGAGGUGUUGGAAAUGGAAACAUUGUUUCAAACAAUAUCCAGAUUUUUAUCUCUCUCUCCAAGAGAUAUGGCUUUAAUCCUUUUUCUUUUUUUCUGCUGUUUUUCUGAAACAGUCUGCUAGGGGCUGAUUUCCUCUUCUUUGAAACAGACCAAAAUAUCCCUGUGGGUGAAAAACAUGCCGGAAGUGAAACAGAAAGACUCAGCUUGCCCCGUGUUCGUGGUCUGUCAACUUCUCUAGCCAGUGCCUGGGUCCACAGCUCACUGCUGCUGGUUGCCCUGAGUUAGCCACAAUGCGGGGAAGACAGGAGAGGCUUGAAGGCUUUUUAUAUUCUAUUCUCUUCUGAAGAAUUCACAAGUUAGCAAACACUCAACCACUACUAACUAGAAGGUGUUGCCAAGCAUAACAAACUACACACAUCAACAAGGCCUCCCUCAUAUUGCAAUCCCAGCAGAAAAUGAUGCAGGAAAAGCACUCCCCAAAUCUUGGUUGCCUGCCACCCAAGUUCUUUUGCCAAGAUAUGUGUUUAGCCAGCUCUAAGACGCUGCCACCUUUUCAUGUGUCCAACAUUAGGCUUUCUACCAUAGUUCCCAGUUCCCUCCACCCAGAAUGUAUUACUUGGCUCCUACAAAUGCAAGAGGAAGUGCCCUUCCCUGAACAGAAAUACAAACACAGGGUGAAACUACGACUUGUUUUCAACAGGCCUCCCGUUGUGAGCCCUCCCAACUGUGCUGCCUUUCUCCAAGAGAGCUGGGACUGGCGGCUCGAAGCAGUAUAACUGGCCUGUGCCUCUUCCUGAGGCUGCCUAUAACAAGGGUCUCAAGAGCAAUUCAUCAUCAGCUGGAGAUUUACCAACUUGGCUCACUGAGCCAGAUCGUGCUUUGUCAGAUGUGAAAUUCUGAUGUUCUAAUACACAGCUUGUUUGCAAACUAUGCCUUAAAUAAAUAUAUUCAGGAUAUUUAACAAUAUAGUGCUCUGAACUAGAGCAUCAUUUACAUCUUUGUUUAUUCAAUAAUCAUUUACUAAGUGCCAAAUAUAUGCCAAGUACUAUGCCUGGUGCAACAGUUAAAAUGCAGGAAAGAGAGAGUAUUGCCCUUACUGGGCUAUAAAUUCAAAUCUCUGUCUCAUCUCAUCAAGCAAUCCUUCCGCCUUGGCCUCCCAAAGUGCUGGGAUUAUAGGCAUGAGCCACCACACCUGGCCCAGGAGAGCUUUCUUUAAGGAGAGUGAUGCUUGAUCUCAGUUUUGAAAAGUAUAGAGGUGUUCACCUAGAGGGGAGGAAAGAAUAGAGCAUUCUGAAAAGAGAGGACUGUGGAGCUAAGGCAAAGAGAUAUUACAUAGCCUGGCAUGGUCUGGGAACUAUAAGUAGCUGAAGUUGGUGGUGAAUGGGUCAUGAGAGGAAGCGGAGCUAGGCAGAGGCCUGAUUGUAGAGAACACUGUAUUCCAAGCUAAGAACCAAAGUCAUCAUCCUGAAGGCUGUGGGGGCAAUACUGAGGAGGUUCCCAGAAAGUGAGUAAUAUUUUCUUGUCUUCGUGACAGCAGCAAAUUGAACAGUAGGGGUCGAAAACAGGGUUAGGCUAAGUAGCAGGUCAUUGCAAUAGUCCAGAAGAAUGAAGGCUUGAAACUUCAACAGGCAACAGGGAUGAAGAGGUGAGAAUAGAUUUGAGAGAAGUGAAGGGAGCAGGAUCUGCAGAACUUGGAGACUGACUGGAUUCUCGAAGAUUAAGGAGAUGGAGAAGUCAAGGGUGAAUGGUUCCCAGUUUAUUAUUUAGGCACCUGAAGGAAUGCUGGUGCCUCUCAUUUGAAAGGGAUGUAGGAAGAAGAGCUUAAUAGGGUACUCUCAGAAAGAGAAUGCCAGGUUCUCGCUUACUAAUGGCUUCCAACUGUUGAUGGCACUGCUCUAUCAGCCGUGAGGGGUGUGGCAGGCAAAGUGCAGGGUAGCUUAUCAGUCCCAGCUUCACGCGUAGGUCGCUAAAGAGCUUUCACUCAGAUCAAACCCCAGAAUGGAAGCUGCCUGCUUUAACACCACAGAGAAAAAUGUCCUUCCAAAGCUAUGGCUCCAUUGGCUCUGACCCCAUCGGGGUCACACUUCAUCACACCGAAGAAGCCAGUGUGUGCCAUUGAUUCUAGGGGGAAGAUGGUGCUGGGACUUGGCCUGACAUCCCAAUCAAAGUAAAGCCACCAAAGCAUAUUCUUUGACACAGGCUAAUACGAUUGAUGUGCCGUACAAAACGAAAAGUCCACACUCUGUAGCACCAAUAAAAGACACUAUUCUUUGGCUGCAAAGUAUGCAUAUACUCACAUAGCAAAAAAGUGGCCUGGACUAAAGCUCUUCUUACUGUUUGCUGUUUUAUAUGUAUGUAUAUGUAUCUAUAAAUGGUUUAUAUGAUAUGUAAAUUGGUGUACACAUAUAUGUAUAUACAGAAUAUCACACAGUCAUCCCAAUAUCCAUGGGAGAUUGAUUUCAGGACUCCUAUGGAUACCAGAAUCUGAGGAUGCUCAAGUCUCUCUUGUAUAAAAUGGUGUAGUAUUUGCAUAUAAUUUACACACAUUCUCUCAUAUACUUUUAUCAUCUCUAGAUUACUUAUAAUACCUAAUAAAAUGUAAAUGAUUUGUAGAUAGUUGUUAUACUGUAUUGUUUUUAUUUGCAUUAUUUGUAUUAUUUGUAUUGUCGUAUUUUUAUUUUUUAAUUGUUUUGUAUAUUUUUCUGAAUAUUUUCUGAAUAUUUUUGAUCCAUAGCUGGUUGAAUCCACAGAUGUGAAACUUGCAGAUAUGAAAGGGCUGGCUGUAUAUGUCUAAGUAUACAUAUAUAUAAAGUGGUUUUUGUAAGAGAUGAAUAUUUAUAUAUCGUAAAUGUAUGUUAUAUACUUAUCUUUUUAGUUCGCAAUUUAAUGGGAGCAUUAUUUUUUAACUUUUUAUUAUGGGGAAUUUCAAAUAUGUAUGAAAGUAGAAGAGAUAAUGUAAUGUAUCCAUCCAUGUAUCCAUCACCCAGUUGGAAUCAUUAGUAAGUCAUGGUUAAUCUUGUUUCCUCUGACAAUGCCCCCACCAAUAUCUCCUCUUGCCUCCUGGACUAUUUUAAAGCAAAUAUAUUGGAAGCAUGUGUAUGUAUGUGUACCUGUGUAUUAGAAAUACUUUUUAU